rnacentral:lncRNA from 1 species
CAGAAGGGAAUCAGCACAAUGAUGUAUCAGUACAUAACUCGACAACUGGAGCACCGGUCCUCCAACUAGCCGGCGGGAAGCUUUUGGCAGCUGUAUUUGGCAGAUGAAGUCUCUAGGAGGGGGUCUUGGAAGCACUUAGAAAGUGAAGGUGGAUAUCAGUUCUUUCUGGUUAGAGGACAAAAGAUUACCUGAGAAACUCAAUUUACCCUUGCAGUGGGAGGCAUAUGGGGAACUGAUUUGAGCUGAAGGUAUGUCACCUGUGGGACCAGGCUCUGUGGCAGAUUAGUCCGUGACAAGACUUUCAGGUCCCAAGUACUGAGUUCAGCAGGCGAUGGUCGGAGGUUUGGGUACAAAACUGCUCAGAAUGGGGGUGUGGAGUCCCGCAUCCCCCAAGUGAAAAAGCGCAACUGCUCUUUACAAAGCUGUCUCUGGAAAGAACAUGUACUUGGCAAAUCAGACUAGGAACUGCCAAACACGUCCUUCAUCCUUCCUCGUUGGCUCCGCCCAAAGCGUUGAGUCUGGAGUGGGACAGGUGGAUCCUUCAAUCUGAUUCGACCCAAUUUCUCCCGCCUUCCGCAAUCACUUAACCAAUGAGAGAGCGAUGGGGGGGGGUCUACCAAAUGACGCUUUCGCCUUCCUUGAGUCUAUGAGGCAUUAGCCAAUCAAUGGAUAGUUGAUGGUUGCUAAGAAACACAUGUGUGUAGCUCCACCCACAACUAGGAUAUAAGCCAAUGAAAACUCGUAUUUUGGACUAUUGAGCCAAAACCAGGAGGUUAGAUCCAGCGUCUAGCGCUGCCGCGCACGCGCAGAUUGCGAAAGGCGCUGGAAGAUAGCGGAGGUUCCGCCAUUUUGCGGGAAGAGGAGCAACUCCGGCUGCAGUGCUGCUUUUCCAGCUGAGACUGUGGGAAAUAGCUGCACUUCGCGUCCCCCCCACACACUCCUAAAGGAACGGAGAAAACCGGGACCCCCCGCUGCGGGGACCCGGAACUGCUCUGACAUGAUGGCGUCUGAUGACUUUGAUAUAGUAAUUGAGGCCAUGCUGGAAGCUCCCUAUAAAAAAGAGGAGGAUGAGCAGCAAAGGAAAGAGGUUAAAAAGGACAGUCCUAGCAGUGCCACUAGCAGCACCAGCCACAGUGGUAGUGGUACCAGCAGGAGCAACACCACCCGGGACACAAGCAAGAAGAAGAGGAGUCGGAGCCACAGUAGAAGCAGGGAUAGAAAGUACAGUCAUAGUCGAGACCGAGACCGACAUUGUGAGAGAAGGAGCGGGAGCCGAAGUGGUGAUCGGCAGCAGCGACCCUGCAGCCAAAGCUGGGACCGUCCACAUAGUAGUGAGUCACGAAGUCAAGACUGGCGGCGUGAGGAUUAUGUGCCCUAUAGGCGUCUUCCACUUGCCACUGGGUGGAGGUAUGGGCCCAGUAAGAGUCCUCAUUUCAGAGAGAGGAGCCCGGUCAGGUGAGUUGAUGUGAGCACUGGUUUAGGGAUUAUGAAGUAUGAGUGAAAGCUUGGCUGAACCAGACUGCAGCAGGCAUAUAUGUUACUUGGGUGUUAGCUAGAAAACAGUGACUGAGUCUUAAGAGGGGCAGUAUCACCACAUUUUACUCUUUUUUUUAAA